AGUAGGCUCAGACAGGACAGGAGCUGUAAUCAGAGAGAAAUCUUUGAUUUUGUUUAUUUUUUCCAUUAGAAAUCAAAAAAGAAAUGGAGCAACUGAGGCCUGCACUUCUUAUUGUCUUUAUCUCAACAGCAAUCGCAAAACCAUUCAACAGGCCUGGACACCACAAUGGUCCACAGUUCAACAGGCCUGGACACAUUUACAUUUACAUUUACAUUUAAGUCAUUUAGCAGACGCUCUUAUCCAGAGCUACUUACAAAUUGGACACCAUAAUGGUCCACAGUUCAACAGGCCUGGACACCACAAUGGUCCACAGUUCAACAGGCCUGGACACCACAAUGUUCCACAGUUCAACAGGCCUGGACACCACAAUGUUCCACAGUUCAACAGGCCUGGACACCACAAUGUUCCACAGUGCAACAGGCCUGGACACCACAAUGUUCCACAGUUCAACAGGCCUGGACACCACAAUGUUCCACAGUUCAACAGGCCUGGACACCACAAUGUUCCACAGUGCAACAGGCCUGGACACCACAAUGUUCCACGAAUCCACGAGUCCUCAGAAUCUGAUGAAUCAAGAUUGACACCAGGACCAACUGCUCCAACCACAGUGAACCCUCCCACUCCUGCCAUGUCAACUAUCCCACCAGUGACAGAAAUGUCCACGAAUGGGCCAAUUGUCGGUGAAAUGACACCGUCACCAGGGAACGUUACUGCACAUGUCACUGAGGACAUUGCAACUCCCCCUUCACCAACUCCCACUCCAGCAACUCCCCCUUCACCAACUCCCCCUUCACCAACUCCCCCUUCACCAACUCCCCCUUCACCAACUCCCCCUUCACCAACUCCCCCUUCACCAACUCCCCCUUCACCAACUCCCCCUUCACCAACUAGAGGAGACAACUAAUAAUGAGAGAAUUCAUGAGAAUGCUUUAUUAUAAUUAUUCAAGAGUUCAUAAAUCAUUGCUUUUUUUAGGUCAUCAUUUUUUGUAUGGGCUGUUUACAGUACCUGCAUUAUAUGAAAUAUCUUUCUUGGCAUUUUAUUUGUGUUUUUUAUGCAGCAGCAUUUAUAGGUAAUGUUAUCGAUAGCUUCAUAAUAACCCUAUCAGAAGCCCUGUAAUCUUUACUAGUUCAACAUAUGGUGGUAGUUACAGGUGUUUGGAUGUCUGUGAACUAGGUGAUCAUAAUCUGCUGGGUGUGAUAUAAACAAUUGUGAAUGUUUGAUUGUUUCAUUGCUAUUGCUGUGUUAUGCUCCAGUAUGUCUCUUUACACACAGUAUGUAGUGACUUGCUCCUUGGAGUUUUAGGCUGGUUAUUUGUAAAGUACAUCGAGACAACUGCUGAUUUACAAAGGGCUUAAUAACAUACAUUUGAUUGAUUGAUUGAUAUUUGUUGUGAACUUGUGUACUCAAUAAAGAGAUAGAAAAAUA